rnacentral:lncRNA from 1 species
AAUUAUCUAUUAUUAAGUAAGAGAUAAUUAUUAUAUUUCAAUUUAGUUGCCUUGUGCGUAGGAGAAGGAUUUCGAUACAGUUCAGGAGAAGGGCUUUCUAUAUAUACAUACAUAUGUCUUUUCUUUUUUAGCUUCUAUGCAGUCGGCUGUUCAUUUCAGGAAGAAUUGAAACAGGAUUUAUGAAGUCUUCUAGUAGCAGAAUGUCGCAGCUGGGACUUACGGAUGAGAGGGUUCAGCCGCAGAGUUCCAACUCUAUACAGUUCCACCAGCAUGAUGUACCUGUUGAAGGAACGUCUACUCUCCAAUUGCCUCCAACUAAUGCAUUUGGAGGGACCAGUAGCUGCGCAAUUCUAAUUUCAUUCCUCGGGGGUUUAGGCAUCUACAAAUGGCUAUACCGUAAGCAACAUAAGAAAAAGAACAUUAAGCAGGAAUAAUUAAGUUUCAUCUGAACCUGGUGAUGGAGGUAUACAAGGUAAUGAGCAGACAUUGCAGGGAUGAAUCGUUCUUCAGGGACUACAGGAGUUACAUAGGAAGAUAGAUAGCUCUCUGUUUAGAUUCUAUACCCGUCUGUAAAACUGAAAGUCGAUAUGGAGGAUGAACCGAUGUAAGAAGUGGAGGGUUGUUAAGUUAAAGGUCCUGUUCGUAACUUUCAUAUAUUGUUGUUGAUAAGUUUGAUAUAUGGUUGUUGUUAGUAGCUAAAGGAUGUGGAUGAGGGAGUUAGUGGGGCUUGGUAUCGGGAGUCAUAAGAGCAAGAAGAAGCCUAUAUAUAGUACUGUGGAUUAUGGACGAG